AAUGGGCAAAAUAUAAAACUUUAUUCAAGGAAAUAUGUGGAUGCACAUUAACAUAUGAAAUGAUUCUAUACAUCAUUUUAUUUAGGGAAAUGCAAAUUAAGACCACGAUGUGGUAGCGUACAUCUGUUAGAAUGGCUUUAAAGCAAAACUGGUAGUAUCAAGUUGUGGUGAGCAUGCAGAUCAAUUGGAAAUCUCAUGCAAUGCUAGUGGUAAUGCAAAAUGACACAGCUAUUUUUGAAAAUGAUGCAGCUACUUUUGAAAAUACUUUGAUGCUUUCUCAUAAAGUUAAACAUCUAUUCAGCAUACAACACAGCAAUACCACUCCUAGGUGGAUAUAAAAGAGAAUUGAAAGCAUAUGUUUGUAUAAAUAUCUAUACACCCAUGCUUAUAUCAGUCUUGCUCCUAAUUACCCAAAUUAAAGCCAAAUGUCCAUCAAUAAGGAAAAUAUUUAUACAAAUUAUGGUACAUCUAAACAAUGGAAUAAAAAACAGCAAUGCAACAACAUUAAUGAUUCACAAAUGUAUUAGACUAAUUGAAAUAAACCAGAAGCAAAUGGUAGUGCAUAUAGUAUGAUUUCACUCGUAUGACAUUUUGGAAAAGGCAAAACUAUAUGGACAGAAAAGAGACCAUUGUUUGUUAAGGGCUGAAUAUGGGAGAAAGAAUUGACCACAAACUUGCAUAAGGGAAUUUUUUUAGAUGAUGGAAAUGCUCUAUGUCUUAAAUGUAAUGAUGAUUUCUUGACUACAUGCAUUUAUCAGAAUGCAUAGAACUGUACAACCAAAAGGAAUUAAUUUGUCUAUGAGUAAAUUAUAUCCCAAUACAUGUAAAUUAAUUUAGUAGCACAAGAAGAACUUAGGACAAUUUCUGGUACAAGUAAGUGUCCAAGAAACACUAGCUGCUAUUGUUAUCAUCAUCACCAUUAUUGAAAUGACCAGAAUAGUUUUAAUAAGUGAAUAAUAAGCCACAAAAAUAAUAAGUUACAGUUUUUAUAAUAUAGGAUGAGACAGUAAUACAAAUUUAUUCAAUUUCAUAGUCAAAUAUUUAGAUGGUCAAAUGAAUAAGACUAUAAAAGCACAUAUAAGCUAAAUCUCAAAUCUGCAUUUAGAAUUAACAGUGAAUAUUACAUAGUUUUUUUUUACAGUAUUCUAACUAAAUUUUCAAAACAGAUUAAAAGUGUCUGUGCAUGCAUUUAUUCAUGCAAUAUUUAUUGACCAUUUACCAUGUGUAAGUCCUAUGCUAUGCACUGGGACUAUUAGUGCUAUGACCCUGAACUAAAUCUAUUAGUUUAGAAAUUAUCAAUAAUAAUUUUACUCUUACAUAAUCUAGUGUAUUGUAUAAUCAAACAUGUAACAGCAGUUAAGUCAAAAAUAUUCAGAAAGAAAACCAGGGUCAACCUGAAGACUGAAUGUAUGUUUAUAAUUUUUAAAGGAGAAUUUUUCUGUGCUAUAUAGUUGGUGGAAGUCAAGUCAACUGGAACAAUUGAAGAUAAAGUAUGUAUGUAAAUACUGUUAAAGUUAGGAAAAACACUAAUGAAAAAGUUUAAUGGAAAGUUGGGAUCUAGUUAUGUUUGAAUAAAGAAUGUUUCAGUUACCAUGGCUACAUAACAAAUUAUCUCAAAUCUAGUAUUUACAAAAAAUACUAUUUUACUAAUAUUGGAUUCUAGUAAAUUACUGUCACGGAUUCUGAGGUUCAGCAUGGCUUGCCUCUUCUCCACAAUACCUAGGGUUAUACUUGGAAAGGCUUGCUGGCUGGAGGCUGGAAUCUUCAGAAGACAUCUUUCCUCACAUGUGUGGUUGUUGACGCAGGUUGUUGGCUGAAACCUAAACCGAGCUGUGCAUUAGAACUCCUAAAGUGGCCUCUUCUUGUCUAAUUCAUAUCUUAAUAAUAGUUGUAAACUCAGUAAUAGCUUUUCUAAAACCCCAAUUUAAAAAUGGGCAAAACAUGUUAGUUUAUUUAGAAAUAUUUUUACCUAGAAGUUUAUUUAGAGGAACCUGGACCCCUGGCUCAUGAUUGGGAACAGCACCUCUGAAGGCUGAAUGUCUGCAUUGAACUUGAUGGAGUAAGGAUAAAUUUUACUCUCCACUGACAUCUAGAGGGGGUGUUUUUGGAGAGGAAGAUUUGGACUUCUUUCUAGCAUGGUGGCUGACAGCAAACAUCCUCAGAGAACAAAGUGAAUAUGCCUAGCAUUUUUACAACCAGACCUUGGAAUUGUCAUGGCGUCAUUUUAGCUUAUUCUAUUGGUUGAAAUAGUCACAAAAAUCUACUCUGCUGAAACACUUGGGGUUAGGGGUGGCAGCACAUUACCAUGGGCAAUGGGAGGAAAAUCAAGAUCACAUUAACAAGAGCAUGAAAGACGGGCCAUUUUGGAAGAUGCAAUCGUCCACAAAAUGUGAGUAUUUGUCAUCGGAUUAUAUGAAUAUUGAUAUAAUUAGCAAUUGGUAGGUCUCCUUUUGGAAAUAUAGUAAUUGACAUGAGAGCUAAGUGAACAUUACAAAAUUGGCCUUAAAUAAUUAGGUCCCCAGCUUAGUCAGGAGUCUCAUUAAUCAUUUUCAUUCUAUAGGAAAGUUUGCCAUUAAUAUUCAGGUCAUACAAGCAAAAGCAGAUAUUUAUAGAUAGCCAGAAUCGCACUGUUUAGCAGACAUGUAUUCAUAACAUUAUGUGCUAAGCACUAACUACACCUAGUAAAGACAUCAUGUUUUCCACAUAAAACUACUAUAUUAAGUACUCUGCUAGUAUGAGUAUUUUCUUUUACCACACAGUGACCUGUAUUUUACUUUCGGAGAAAAAUUUUUUCAGCUUACAAAAUGUUAGCUGGAUAUUUACCACUUUUAUUACCUUCAUGGAAGUCCAGCUAGACUAAUACGCCUUUUGAAGAAUGAGCUAAGAUGAGGCAUUUGAUAAAUUUCUUACAGCUAUUGUUUUCCCUGAUAUUAUUUUUAUGGCAUGGAAUUAAACGUUACAAAAUAUCAGUUUACAAUGACUGGAAAAUCCAAUUCCCUUAAUAGUGAAGAAGGUAAAAUCUUCCAAAGAGUAUUACAUAUCUCCAAGCACAAUAUACCUUGAUAGAUAUACAGCAUACCUUUUCCUUAAUAUAGACAAAAUUCAGCAUAUUGUGGCAAUAAAAUAGGAAUACCAAAUGUGUCUUUUGCCAGUAUCAUUUCUUGAGGUGGCUACAGUCCCAUUCCCGUUUCUCUUUGAAAGAACUAAAUUCAAAGUGCACCUAACAGAGUGGUGGUUACUCAUAAAUCUGUUUUAUAUUCCAGAGUGUUGGAGGAGUGGGGAGAGAGAGUAGUUUCGGCUGAUGGGAUAUUGGUAGAAAAAAUGUAAGUUAUUUCAUUAAAGGUCCUUCUUCUCUUGUUUGAUGUCCAAAUGGAAGGGAUUUGUAGAAGACUUCAGGACUCCAGAUGACUCUGAAAUACUUAGCAACAGUAGAAGAUAACUACAUAAGAGGAGCUUGGAACUUUGGCUCACCAUGGGGAAGAGCACCACUGAAGGCUGACUAUAUCUGCACUGAACUUGAUGGAGCAAGAAUAAAUUUUACUCUCCACUAACAUCUAGGGGGUUGUAUUUUACAGCAAUUGCCACCAUCAUCAAUAUAGCUGAUACUGUGAGACAGAAGAGUUCUGUAAGAUGUAACCUUUGGAAGAAACUUGAUGUAAGUUACAUGGGACUUCUCUGUACUAUCUUCCCAACUUCUAAUGAAUCUGUAAUUAUUUCAAAACUAAAAAGGUAAAAGUAGUAUUUAUUGCAAAGAGCCAGUAUUUUAAUUUAUUGUGAAUGAAUACUAUGGAAAAAUAUGAUGAAAAUAAAUUACUAGAAAACUAAAAUUAAACAAAGAUACAUAAACUGCAAAACCUUUUUGUAGAAUCAGGAAUAUCUCUCCAUUUUUAUACAUAUAAUCAGAACAAAUAUGGUAUAUGAAGAAAAUAAUUUCCAAAAGACUAUAUAUUUUUAUUAAGAGUAUACACAUAGCCAUUAAUAUUGAGAAUUGCUAAUAUACUAUUUGUCUUUCUACAAUCUCAGCUAAACAAAAUGUAUAAGUGAAAUGUGAUUUCAUUCAAUGAAAACUUAUAUGCACACUUUGAGAAUACUUUGUAUAAACACAUUUAAAGAUUUUGAUAUGAAUAAAUGCAAACAGUUCAUUUCUUCCGUUAA